rnacentral:rRNA from 1 species
GGUUAAGCGACUAAGCGUACACGGUGGAUGCCCUGGCAGUCAGAGGCGAUGAAGGACGUGCUAAUCUGCGAUAAGCGUCGGUAAGGUGAUAUGAACCGUUAUAACCGGCGAUUUCCGAAUGGGGAAACCCAGUGUGAUUCGUCACACUAUCAUUAACUGAAUCCAUAGGUUAAUGAGGCGAACCGGGGGAACUGAAACAUCUAAGUACCCCGAGGAAAAGAAAUCAACCGAGAUUCCCCCAGUAGCGGCGAGCGAACGGGGAGCAGCCCAGAGCCUGAAUCAGUGUGUGUGUUAGUGGAAGCGUCUGGAAAGGCGCGCGAUACAGGGUGACAGCCCCGUACACAAAAAUGCACAUGCUGUGAGCUCGAUGAGUAGGGCGGGACACGUGGUAUCCUGUCUGAAUAUGGGGGGACCAUCCUCCAAGGCUAAAUACUCCUGACUGACCGAUAGUGAACCAGUACCGUGAGGGAAAGGCGAAAAGAACCCCGGCGAGGGGAGUGAAAAAGAACCUGAAACCGUGUACGUACAAGCAGUGGGAGCCUCUUUAUGGGGUGACUGCGUACCUUUUGUAUAAUGGGUCAGCGACUUAUAUUCUGUAGCAAGGUUAACCGAAUAGGGGAGCCGAAGGGAAACCGAGUCUUAACUGGGCGUUAAGUUGCAGGGUAUAGACCCGAAACCCGGUGAUCUAGCCAUGGGCAGGUUGAAGGUUGGGUAACACUAACUGGAGGACCGAACCGACUAAUGUUGAAAAAUUAGCGGAUGACUUGUGGCUGGGGGUGAAAGGCCAAUCAAACCGGGAGAUAGCUGGUUCUCCCCGAAAGCUAUUUAGGUAGCGCCUCGUGAAUUCAUCUCCGGGGGUAGAGCACUGUUUCGGCAAGGGGGUCAUCCCGACUUACCAACCCGAUGCAAACUGCGAAUACCGGAGAAUGUUAUCACGGGAGACACACGGCGGGUGCUAACGUCCGUCGUGAAGAGGGAAACAACCCAGACCGCCAGCUAAGGUCCCAAAGUCAUGGUUAAGUGGGAAACGAUGUGGGAAGGCCCAGACAGCCAGGAUGUUGGCUUAGAAGCAGCCAUCAUUUAAAGAAAGCGUAAUAGCUCACUGGUCGAGUCGGCCUGCGCGGAAGAUGUAACGGGGCUAAACCAUGCACCGAAGCUGCGGCAGCGACGCUGAUGCGUUGUUGGGUAGGGGAGCGUUCUGUAAGCCUGUGAAGGUGUGCUGUGAGGCAUGCUGGAGGUAUCAGAAGUGCGAAUGCUGACAUAAGUAACGAUAAAGCGGGUGAAAAGCCCGCUCGCCGGAAGACCAAGGGUUCCUGUCCAACGUUAAUCGGGGCAGGGUGAGUCGACCCCUAAGGCGAGGCCGAAAGGCGUAGUCGAUGGGAAACAGGUUAAUAUUCCUGUACUUGGUGUUACUGCGAAGGGGGGACGGAGAAGGCUAUGUUGGCCGGGCGACGGUUGUCCCGGUUUAAGCGUGUAGGCUGGUUUUCCAGGCAAAUCCGGAAAAUCAAGGCUGAGGCGUGAUGACGAGGCACUACGGUGCUGAAGCAACAAAUGCCCUGCUUCCAGGAAAAGCCUCUAAGCAUCAGGUAACAUCAAAUCGUACCCCAAACCGACACAGGUGGUCAGGUAGAGAAUACCAAGGCGCUUGAGAGAACUCGGGUGAAGGAACUAGGCAAAAUGGUGCCGUAACUUCGGGAGAAGGCACGCUGAUAUGUAGGUGAAGUCCCUCGCGGAUGGAGCUGAAAUCAGUCGAAGAUACCAGCUGGCUGCAACUGUUUAUUAAAAACACAGCACUGUGCAAACACGAAAGUGGACGUAUACGGUGUGACGCCUGCCCGGUGCCGGAAGGUUAAUUGAUGGGGUUAGCGGUAACGCGAAGCUCUUGAUCGAAGCCCCGGUAAACGGCGGCCGUAACUAUAACGGUCCUAAGGUAGCGAAAUUCCUUGUCGGGUAAGUUCCGACCUGCACGAAUGGCGUAAUGAUGGCCAGGCUGUCUCCA